UGCGUAGACGGGAGAACAAGUUAGUUGUGAAAUACCUCGGCUCAACUGAGGAACUGCAACUAAAACUGUACUUCUUGAGUGCAGGAGAGGUAAGUGGAAUUCCUAGUGUAGCGGUGAAAUGCGUAGAUAUUAGGAGGAACACCAGUGGCGAAGGCGACUUACUGGACUGUAACUGACGUUGAGGCACGAAAGUGUGGGGAGCAAACA
rnacentral:rRNA from 1 species